GUGUACUAAAAAAAUAGUAAAAUAUUUUUGAUGGAUGGAACUUUUUCUGCAGCCCCAUCUUUCAAUAAUGAAUUUAGACAAUUAUAUGUCAUAAUGGGAAUUACAUUCAAUACAGUCAGUUGUAUAUAUUUAUCAUUAAAUACAUACUUGGCUUUCCGGUUGCUUUUGCUCUUAUGUCGAGAAAGACUACGAAGGCAUACGCAGCUUUAUUUGAAAAACUUCUAAGAAUUUAACCCCAAUGGCAAUCUGAAACCAUAAUAAUAGAUUUUGAACUAGCUGCUAUGGCAGGCAUUCAAUUUAUAUUUCCAGAUAUAAACAUCCAAGGUUGUUGGUUCCACAGCAGUCAGGCUAUUUGGAGGAAAAUUGGGAAUCUUGGAAUGACUGAGUUAUGCACAAGUGAUCGUGGAGCAUAUGAUACUGUCCACAUGAUAAUGGCAUUGCCAUUAAUACCGGGUAAUAAAAUGAAUGAAGGGUUUACUGUUUACAUCCAUACAAAUGUUUUAUGAAGAAAAUAUUAAACUAACAUUGUCAACCGAGAGUCAGGAAAAAUUUGAAACUUUUUUCCAAUAUUAUAGAACGACAUGGUUAACAGGUGUUUAUACAAAUAUGUUGAGUGUGAGUGGAACUGUUUGGAGAACAAAUAAUGUUUUAGAAGUAAGUCAUCAACACUUAAAGAUGCACAUUGGAAGCAACCAUCAACCCGAGCCAUGGGUAUUUC